rnacentral:rRNA from 1 species
AGAAUCAACGCUGGCGGCGUGCCUAACACAUGCAAGUCGAGCGCGAAAGGGGGGGCAACUCCCCAAGUAGAGCGGCGAACGGGUGAGUAACGCGUGGGUAAUCUACCUCCGAGUGGGGAAUAACAGCGGGAAACUGCUGCUAAUACCGCAUGACAUCGUCGAGCCUUCGGGCCCGACGAUCAAAGCCGGGGACCGCAAGGCCUGGCGCUUGGAGAGGAGCCCGCGUCCGAUUAGCUAGUUGGCGGGGUAACGGCCCACCAAGGCUCCGAUCGGUAGCCGGCCUGAGAGGGCGGACGGCCACACUGGGACUGAGACACGGCCCAGACUCCUACGGGAGGCAGCAGUGGGGAAUUUUCGCAA